AUUCCGGUUGAUCCUGCCGGAGGACAUUGCUAUUGGGAUUCGAUUUAGCCAUGCUAGUCGAGCGAGUUUAGACUCGCGGCGAAUAGCUCAGUAACACGUGGCCAAGCUCCCCUUCAGUCAGCGAUACCCUCGGGAAACUGAGGUUAACAGCUGAUACAAAACGCCAGCUGGAAUGCGGCGUUUCAGAAAGACAUCGCUGAAGGAUGCGGCUGCGGCCGAUUAGGUAGACGGUGGGGUAACGGCCCACCGUGCCAGUAAUCGGUACGGGUGAUGAGAGUCAGAGCCCGGAGACGGAAUCUGAGACAAGAUUCCGGGCCCUACGGGGCGCAGCAGGCGCGAAACCUUUACACUGCACGGAAGUGCGAUAGGGGAAUCCCAAGUGCGAGGGCAUAUUAGCCCUCGCUUUUCUCGACUGUAAGGUGGUCGACGAAUAAGAGCUGGGCAAGACCGGUGCCAGCCGCCGCGGUAAUACCGGCAGCUCAAGUGAUGC
rnacentral:rRNA from 1 species